CUCAACUUCAUGUCCAGUUGCUAAUUCACACUGCAAGCACAACAUUCUUAAUUAACGCCAAUGUCUGAAAUACUCAGCACACCCCCACACCGAAUCAAGCCCAUUAUUUUUUCUUUUUUUGCCUUUCCUCUACUUGCACGAGAUGGGAAGAACACACGUCAGAACUCCACUC